CGAAUUCGCCCUUAGAGUUUGAUCCUGGCUCAGGACGAACGCUGGCGGCGUGCCUAACACAUGCAAGUCGAGCGAAGUAUAUCUAAGUGAAGUUUUCGGACAGAACGAAGAUAUAUCUUAGCGGCGGACGGGUGAGUAACGCGUGAGCAACCUGCCUUUCACAAAGGGAUAGCCUCGGGAAACUGGGAUUAAUACCAUAUAAAACUUGCCUUUCGCAUGAAAGGGAAGUCAAAGCGAUAAGCGGUGAAAGAUGGGCUCGCGUCCUAUUAGCUAGUUGGUGAGGUAACGGCUCACCAAGGCGACGAUAGGUAGCCGGCCUGAGAGGGUGAACGGCCACACUGGAACUGAGACACGGUCCAGACUCCUACGGGAGGCAGCAGUGGGGGAUAUUGCACAAUGGAGGAAACUCUGAUGCAGCGACGCCGCGUGAGUGAAGAAGGCCUUCGGGUCGUAAAGCUCUGUCCUAGGGGAAGAUAAUGACGGUACCCUAGGAGGAAGCCCCGGCUAACUACGUGCCAGCAGCCGCGGUAAUACGUAGGGGGCGAGCGUUGUCCGGAAUUACUGGGCGUAAAGAGUUCGUAGGCGGUUUGAUAAGUCAGAUGUGAAAGGCGUAGGCUUAACCUAUGUAAGCAUAUGAAACUGUCAGACUUGAGGUAAGGAGAGGAAAGUGGAAUUCCUAGUGUAGCGGUGAAAUGCGUAGAUGUUAGGAGGAAUACCAGUGGCGAAGGCGACUUUCUGGACUUAAACUGACGCUGAGGAACGAAAGCGUGGGGGAGCAAACAGGAUUAGAUACCCUGGUAGUCCACGCC
rnacentral:rRNA from 1 species